AGGUUACUGCUAUCGGUGUUCGCCUAAGCCAUGCGAGUCAUAUGUUCGUAAGAACAUGGCGUACUGCUCAGUAACACGUGGAUAACCUGCCCUUGGGUCCGGCAUAACCCCGGGAAACUAGGGAUAAUUCCGGAUAACGCACAUAUGCUGGAAUGCUUUAUGCGUAAAAUGGAUUCGUCUGCCCAAGGAUGGGUCUGCGGCCUAUCAGGUAGUAGUGGGUGUAAUGUACCUACUAGCCUACGACGGGUACGGGUUGUGAGAGCAAGAGCCCGGAGAUGGAUUCUGAGACAUGAAUCCAGGCCCUACGGGGCGCAGCAGGCGCGAAAACUUUACAAUGCGGGAAACCGUGAUAAGGGGACACCGAGUGCCAGCAUCCUAUGCUGGCUGUCCGGGUGUGUAAAAUACACCUGUUAGCAAGGGCCGGGCAAGACCGGUGCCAGCCGCCGCGGUAACACCGGCGGCCCGAGUGGUGAUCGUGAUUAUUGGGUCUAAAGGGUCCGUAGCCGGUUUGGUCAGUCCUCCGGGAAAUCUGACAGCUUAACUGUUAGGCUUUCGGAGGAUACUGCCAGACUUGGAACCGGGAGAGGUAAGAGGUACUACAGGGGUAGGAGUGAAAUCUUGUAAUCCCUGUGGGACCACCUGUGGCGAAGGCGUCUUACCAGAACGGGUUCGACGGUGAGGGACGAAAGCUGGGGGCACGAACCGGAUUAGAUACCCGGGUAGUCCCAGCCGUAAACGAUGCUCGCUAGGUGUCAGGCAUGGCGCGACCGUGUCUGGUGCCGCAGGGAAGCCGUGAAGCGAGCCACCUGGGAAGUACGGCCGCAAGGCUGAAACUUAA
rnacentral:rRNA from 1 species